rnacentral:rRNA from 1 species
CCAAGCUUGCUUGGUGGAUCAGUGGCGAACGGGUGAGUAACACGUGAGCAACCUGCCCUGGACUCUGGGAUAAGCGCUGGAAACGGCGUCUAAUACUGGAUAUGAGACGUGAUCGCAUGGUCGUGUUUGGAAAGAUUUUUCGGUCUGGGAUGGGCUCGCGGCCUAUCAGCUUGUUGGUGAGGUAAUGGCUCACCAAGGCGUCGACGGGUAGCCGGCCUGAGAGGGUGACCGGCCACACUGGGACUGAGACACGGCCCAGACUCCUACGGGAGGCAGCAGUGGGGAAUAUUGCACAAUGGGCGGAAGCCUGAUGCAGCAACGCCGCGUGAGGGAUGACGGCCUUCGGGUUGUAAACCUCUUUUAGCAGGGAAGAAGCGAAAGUGACGGUACCUGCAGAAAAAGCGCCGGCUAACUACGUGCCAGCAGCCGCGGUAAUACGUAGGGCGCAAGCGUUAUCCGGAAUUAUUGGGCGUAAAGAGCUCGUAGGCGGUUUGUCGCGUCUGCUGUGAAAUCCCGAGGCUCAACCUCGGGUCUGCAGUGGGUACGGGCAGACUAGAGUGCGGUAGGGGAGAUUGGAAUUCCUGGUGUAGCGGUGGAAUGCGCAGAUAUCAGGAGGAACACCGAUGGCGAAGGCAGAUCUCUGGGCCGUAACUGACGCUGAGGAGCGAAAGGGUGGGGAGCAAACAGGCUUAGAUACCCUGGUAGUCCACCCCGUAAACGUUGGGAACUAGUUGUGG